GUCUACGGCCAUACCACCCUGAACGCGCCCGAUCUCGUCUGAUCUCGGAAGCUAAGCAGGGUCGGGCCUGGUUAGUACUUGGAUGGGAGACAAAGAUAUUACUUACAUCUUACAGAUGAGGAAAUUGAAGCUU
rnacentral:rRNA from 1 species